CAUCAUUUUAUAAUUAAGUUGAGGCGGUAAUAGAUGAGUAAGCGUCCUAUUAGCUAGUUGGUGAGGUAUCGGCUCACCAAGGCUACGAUAGGUAGGGUCCUGAGAGGGAGAUCCCCCACACUGGUACUGAGACACGGACCAGACUCCUACGGGAGGCAGCAGUGAGGAAUAUUGGUCAAUGGACGCAAGUCUGAACCAGCCAUGUCGCGUGCAGGAAGACGGCCUUAUGGGUUGUAAACUGCUUUUCUAUAGGGAGAAACCCCCUUUCGUGAGAGGGGCUGACGGUACUAUAGGAAUAAACACCGGCUAACUCCGUG
rnacentral:rRNA from 1 species